GAGCCGCCAGCCCGGCGCCGGCCCGCCAUGGACCGCCGGGACCCCUCCGGAUCGGCCGCCCGCUUGGCAGCCGCCCUCCCCUCCCUUCGCCGGGCCCGCCCCGCGCCCCCCGGCGCUCCGUGACUCGCCGGUGGCUCCUCGGCUCCUCCAUCGUUCGCCGGUGGCGGCAGCCAAGAGAUAGUCCGGGCCUAGCAGAGCGGCCAGUGCAGGAAGUCAUGCCGGAUAUUGGCAGUCAAGGGCGAUGGAGCGAGGUGGUCCACUUGCAGGAUGUCCUGGCCCUGGAUGCUGGAGGGUGCAAGCCUAAGGUGCUGCUGCCGCCCUGGGCGUGCCAAGGGACAGAGGCGAGCAGGUUUGUCCUGGCCACCUCCAGAGUCAGAUCAAGAUUUGAGGUACCGUGAGCAGGUGUGGAGCUGAAGUUUGGAGAGAGCAGCUGCCAAAGCGGACCGUGGGGAGCGUGUUGACAUCUGAGCAUCACCUGAGCCUUUGCUGAGCAGGGCAGUUCCCACCCAUCUCUGUCAUCGGCCUUUGAGUCUCGACAUCAUCGUGGAUCUUUUUGCCCGAGGAGCUCGCCUUCGGAUCUGGCACGAUCGCCACGGUCUCCAUUUUACCUACUCACUGGCGUAGCCGCCCGCGGGCAUCUUGGCCACUUGCUGGAUGGUCAAAGAGCCUGUUGGAGUGCUGGCCUGGAUUUGGGAGGAGCCAAGUAGCCUGGAGCAGUGAGGUUUUUCCUGUCAGAAAUCCAUGCUGGGGAUGUUUUCCCUGGCUGUCCCAAGGGGAAGGAACAGCUCUGGAGUUUUUGCAGCCACAGGUUGGGGAUGCAUCCCCUGAAAACCAGUUCAGGAUCGUUCAUCUGACUCUGUCCCUGACCUGUGGCUUCCAGGGAGCCUUCUGGUCUUCUGGAUAUUCCCAGGAGAGGAUAUUUCACCACCUGACUUUUAAGCCAGGAAUUCCAAACCCACACCGUUCCAGGGGAAAGCUGGUGAAAGGAUAAAGAUGCAGAGGAACAAGUGUUGUAAACCCCCCUGCCUCCCUGACAAAGCAAACCUUUCUGCAAUCCCAGUAAAUCUCUUGGAGAAACUGUGGGAUCAUAAGGUUUCCUAGGAAAGGAAAACUAAGGACAGAGAUGAGGAAAUAGGCCUCCAAUUAACAAUGAUUUGAUGGAGGAUGAGGAAGCCAGGCCUGCUGAGGAGGAAGAUGAGGAAGUGUGUGAGGAUGGAGACAGCGGCCACCAAAGGCUGGGGAAGGCACAGAUCCAGGUAGGAGACGUUGCCUUGCGAGGAGAGGGACUUGUCUGUCCCGUUGGAAUUUGGGGCGUGAGGCCAGUGGAACAAAGGGUUUGAUUCCAUUUUCUUGCUCGGGUUUUCACGUGCCUUAAGAGAGCUUUGUGAAAAUGUCAUUAUCCCUGAUUGAGUCUCUGAAAAACAGGGAUUGAAGCUUUCAGAAGGGGCCCAACCCUGCCUGCAUGUAUCCAAGUGCAGCCCCCCCUCCCUGUUUUUGUGUACAGCUGGGAUGAGACCUCAGCUGCUGUUACUUGCCAGCUCACAAGUUGUGUAGCUCAGAGCCUCAGCCAUGAAGGGCCAGGCUGUGUUUAAAACAGCCCAAGGUGCCAGAGAGCUGGAGUAAUUUCCUAGCAGGUAACUUGACUUGGAAGCUGCGUUCUAAAAUUUGUCCACACUUAAUUGAUGUCCCACAUGGAGACACCUAAAGAAGCAGAGGUGGGGUGUUCCUAAGAAAAGAGCAUCUAAAUUCUUUGGUGGUAGAGGGCUUAAAGUCUGAGUGGAGGUGCCUUUAGGACACUUCCAUUCCAGUAUCUGAAUGGAAUUUAAAUGAAGUAUCCAAAUCCUGACAAGCUUGUAUGAACUCCAAAGCCUCUGCAAGUGGUUUACAGCCAGGGAAGGAGAUAAGAGUCUGGAGUCUCUCCCCAAAACCUGGCUGCUGGUUUGUUUGGCCAGGCAUAGGAAUAAUUGUGUAUUCCCUGGGGUUGUCCUUAUGGGGAGAGGUUUACUUAUGUGCCCUGGGUUUAUUCAGUGCAUCUUCAAAGUGAUGGAAACUGAUUUCAUUGAAAUGCCUGGGGUGCCAAAUGUUUUCCCCAGCCAGAGCUCGGAGCCAGCCCAGUGGGAAGGGGUUUAGUGGCCAUUUUCCUGCUCCCUUGGGCAGCAGCACUGGAGCACUCGCACCCAACCGUGCCCGAGGUGCCGAGUACUGGCAGGAGGCAAAGCCAGGGACUGGGCAGUAGGAGCUUGCAGUGCUCCUGGAAGCGCAGACCUGGAGCUGUGGGUUAGAACUCCCAGGAGCUGCUGCCUCACUCAAACCUUGUUUAAAGCUCAGCAUCCCUCCUGCUCCCUUGGAAUGAUUGUUGCUUCUGUUGUUGCUCUUUCCUGAUACAUUAUGAUUAUUAUUGUAAAUUGCCACUCCAUUUCUUCCAUAGCCCUUUGCUUCCCAGAGGUGGUGCUUUAGGCAAGCCCCUCCAGCCUGGGAAGGGGCUUUUGGCUCCAGACUCAUUCCCAGUCCCCAUGAGCAGCUGGACCUGUGCUGUCCCCAGCAGGUGCCUUUCCUUCCUUCCCUGAUGCACUUUGGCUUUUUGAGGGCUGUCUGGGGGGCUGAGGGAGAAGUUCUUUGUCAUUCCAGGGCAGCAUAAGCCCUGAUCCCACUAAAAGCAGGAGGAAUCAUUUCAUCCUUGUUUUUGGAUACACCUUUGGUGUUUUCUCUCUUUUGCUGACACUGUGUGGUGAAGCAGCAGCUCCCUGGAAUAACUUUUAUUUGUAAAACAAUGAAUUCCCUGCUGGAAUCCCAGUCACAGCCCCCCAGAUCAAGGUGCAGUUUAAGGCCUUACACCCUGACCAGGACAAGUUCCUGUCCUUAGACAUGGAAAACAGGGGAAAACUCAGACUGGAUGGGAGCCAGCAUCCAGAAUGGGGAGAGUGAGGCAGCGUGCUUGGCCCAGGCUGGGGCUGGUACAGGGGGUGUUCCCCGUAGGAUGACACCCGUGUGGAGCAGAUCCUUCUCUUCCUUUGUCCAAAGUCCAAUGGCAAAGGACUGAAGAACCCACAAGUGGGGCCUGGAAGGAAAACAGUUCUGUUAAAAUUAGGCAAAGAAUGCACUAAGAAAAAAUGGACAUCCUUUUUAUGUAUGAAAGUAAGUAGGGGGAAAAUGUUGAAAAAGAGCUCUUUUAUUUGGUGCCACCUCUCAUUUUUUUUAUGGAUAAAACCCUCUAGUGAGCAAUCAGAACAGGAGUGGGAAAGCCAGGAGCCUUUGACUUCCACAGUGGACUUAAUUUCCAUGCUUAAUUUCAACAAUUUCUUCUCUCUCAGGACAGGAAAACCCACUUAACUUGUCCCAUCUUUGCCAAAAGCUUUGGUGUUUGAGCAGCCAAACCCAAUGGGCUCUGGCCCCACCAGCCUGUACUGGAGGGCCCCUGGUCCUGCCUGUGGUGUGGGAUGAAUCCCCAAUUGUCCCCAGAGGGGGCUGCCCUGGUCCCUGCAGUGCCCAGCACCUGAGACACAGAGCCCUGUCCACAGGGGCUCCUUGUCAGGAAUGUGGCAGCAGCCCCAGGAGCAGGCUGGAGAUGCUGGGAUUGCCUCUGGGCACAUGUGCUGAGCUCUCCCUGCAGGGAACUGUCAGGCCUUAACAGCUGUGAGGUUGUGUUCUUCUCAGUGGGGAACUGGAAAUAAUUAUUAAUUAAUUGCAGAAAUGUUUUCUGAA